rnacentral:misc_RNA from 1 species
GAAGGAAUCUUUCUUGGAUGAAGGGUGAGUAUGUGGACAUAUUGAGUCUUAUUUCAUUUUGAGGUUUUCAUGGUAUGGCACAUGAAUUUCCGUGCUUGAGUACUAAACAUAGCCUUCUUUUUUGCUAAUAUGUAACUUCAUAACCUGGAAGUUGUGUAAAUUAUUUUGCAACUUCUACAGUGUCUUUGUAGAUCCAUCUGUUUCUUGUAAAUAGCCAUACUAUGAUAGAACAUGGGAUAACAUCUUUACCUAGUAGACCCAGGAUGUAUCAUUCCAUGUCACUAAUCUACUGAGACCUGAUAGGUUUUUCAAUGGUUUAAAUUGGGGUCUUUUGUUUCUUCAGAUUUAUUCUUGACAAAAAAAUA